GAUUUUAAAUUUAACGGCCGCGGUAUCCUAACCGUGCAAAGGUAGCGCAAUCACUUGUCCUUUAAAUAGGGACCUGUAUGAAUGGCACAACGAGGGCUUAACUGUCUCCUUUCUCCAGUCAAUGAAAUUGAUCUCCCCGUGCAGAAGCGGGGAUAAAACCAUAAGACGAGAAGACCCUGUGGAGCUUUAGACGAAAAAUAAACUUUGUUAAGCAAACUAACAUGAAAAGAAUAAACAAUAAGAACUUAUUUUGAACUGUCUUCGGUUGGGGCGACCGCGGGGAAAAAUUUAACCCCCAUGAGGAAUGAGGGCUUCAUCCUCCCAACUUAGAGUGGCAACUCAAAGUUACAAAACAUUUGACCUAAGAUGAUCCGGCCUAGCCGAUCAACGAAACCAGUUACCCCAGGGAUAACAGCGCUAUCCUUUCCUAGAGUCCCUAUCGACGAAAGGGUUUACGACCUCGAUGUUGGAUCAGGACAUCCUAAUGGUGCAACCGCUAUUAAGGGUUUGUUUGUUCAACAAUUAAAGUCCUACGUGAUC
rnacentral:rRNA from 1 species